rnacentral:lncRNA from 1 species
UGAGCUAGUAGCUGGCAAACCCUGGUGAUUCUCUGCUCCCCACAGUUCAGGGGUUACGACACGCCCUGUUUUUCACACGGGGGUUGGGGGGUUGACGACUCAGAGUGAGGCCCUCAGGCUUUCAGAGCCAGUGAUCACACCCCUGAGCCCCUCUGCUCUUUAAAUCUAAGGACAACAGUUCACAUAAACCUCACUCUUAAAACUGCCCAGGGUUGCUUUCCGAGGGUCUCACUUGCUUUGUCAAUCUAACUUCCCUUGAUUCGGGAAAGUUUUAGAUUUUCUGCUUGCUUUCUUCAACUCAUCCAAGAAUACCCAUUUUUUUCAACCUCCAAGUAUCUGUGCUGUUUCUGGAGUUUCUUUUGCUGUUAGUUUCUGAUUUUGCUCUGCUGUGAUCUGCUGAGAUACGAGGAGCUAGGUGCAUCCUCUCUCACCUGGCCAGGCUUGUUUUGAGCCAUGGACAGCAAUUCAUGUUAGAGAGAAUGCCACGGGCUGCUGAGAAGAAUGUGUAUUCCUUAUCUGCUGCACAGGACGUUACACAUUAAGUCACUGGAGUUUCUUCAUUGAUUUUCCCUUCAGGUGACCAUCUGCAGAGAAGAGUGGAGUCUGAAGACACUCAUUGUGAAGGCUGAUGCUGCUUGUCAACUCGACUUUAUUUGCAAAUGACAAAACACAGGCAGCUGGACACACCUGGGAGGAUUUUCUUGAUUGGAUCAUUUGAGGUGGAAGACCCACCCUAAAUCCUGCCCACACCUUCUGGUACAGAAAAGGACAUGGAAGAAGGAAGCUUUUGCAUUUUGGCUGCUUGCCCCAACUCUUGUUGGCAAGAUCAUCUCUACUGUUGCUAAGACAUCCACUCCUUCUCUGGUGUUAGAAUUGACUUCUUCAGGACUCCAGUGUAGACUGAAGACCAGCAGCUCUCUAGGAAUCCUUCAGGACUCCAGCAGCAGCAGCAGCCUGGGAGUGCUAAGAC